ensembl:misc_RNA Metazoa_SRP Metazoan signal recognition particle RNA
GCCGGGUGUGGUGGUGCACAUCUGUAGUUCCAGCUACACAGAAGGCUGAGGCAGGAGGAUCGUUUGAGCCUAGGAGGUCGAGGCUGCAGUGAGCCGUGAUGGCACCACUGCACUCCAGCCUGGGCAACAGAGCAAGAUCCUGUCUCCA